AGCAGCCGCGGUAAUUCCAGCUCCAAUAGCGUAUAUUAAAGUUGUUGCAGUUAAAAAGCUCGUAGUUGAAUUUCGGGGUCAAUAGGUUGGUCGUGCCAAUGGUAUGUACUGGCUUUAUUGAUUCCUACCUCUUGACGAACUGUGAUGCCAUUAAUUUGGUGUUGCAGGAAAUCAGGACUGUUACCUUGAAAAAUUAGAGUGUUUAAAGCAGGCUUACGCUUGAAUACAUUAGCAUGGAAUAAUGAAAUAGGACGUUUGAACCUAUUUUGUUGGUUUCUAGGAUCGACGUAAUGAUUAAUAGGGAUAGUUGGGGGCAUUAGUAUUCAAUUGUCAGAGGUGAAAUUCUUGGAUUUAUUGAAGACUAACUACUGCGAAAGCAUUUGCCAAGGAUGUUUUCAUUAAUCAAGAACGAAAGUUAGGGGAUCAAAGACGAUCAGAUACCGUCGUAGU
rnacentral:rRNA from 1 species